rnacentral:rRNA from 1 species
UACGUAGGGGCCGAGCGUUGUCCGGAGUUACUGGGCGUAAAGAGCGCGCAGGCGGCUGGUCAAGUCCGAUGUGAAAUCUCCCGGCUUAACUGGGAAACUGCAUCGGAAACUGAUCGGCUUGAAGGUGGGAGAGGGUAGUGGAAUUCCCGGUGUAGUGGUGAAAUGCGUAGAUAUCGGGAGGAACACCAGUGGCGAAGGCGGCGACCUGGGCCAAUACUGACGCUGAGGCGCGAAAGCUAGGGGAGCAAACGGG